rnacentral:rRNA from 1 species
UCCGUAGGGUGCAAGCGUUGUCCGGAAUUAUUGGGCGUAAAGAGCUCGUAGGCGGUCUGUCGCGUCGGAUGUGAAAAUCCAGGGCUUAACCCUGGGCCUGCAUUCGAUACGGGCAGACUAGAGUUCGGUAGGGGAGACUGGAAUUCCUGGUGUAGCGGUGAAAUGCGCAGAUAUCAGGAGGAACACCGGUGGCGAAGGCGGGUCUCUAGGCCGACACUGACGCUGAGGAGCGAAAGCGUGGGGAGCGAACAGG